UACAGAGGUGCCGAGCGUUGGGCGGAAUCACUGGGCUUAAAGCGUGUGUAGGCGGACUUCUAAGUACCUUGUGAAAUCCCACGGCUCACCCGUGGAACUGCUGGGUAUACUGGUCGUCUUGAGCCACCUAGGGGCGAGCGGAACAAACGGUGGAGCGGUGAAAUGCGUAGAGAUCGGAAAGAACACCAACGGCGAAAGCACUCUGCUGGGCCGACACUGACACUGAGAGACGAAAGCUAGGGGAGCGAAUGGG
rnacentral:rRNA from 1 species